CGCGUGCACUGGUCCGGCCGGGCCUUUCCCUCUGCGGAACCCCAUGCCCUUCACUGGGUGUGGCGGGGAAACAGGACUUUUACUUUGAAAAAAUUAGAGUGCUCAAGGCAGGCCUAUGCUCGAAUACAUUAGCAUGGAAUAAUAGAAUAGGACGUGUGGUUCUAUUUUGUUGGUUUCUAGGACCGCCGUAAUGAUUAAUAGGGACAGUCGGGGGCAUCAGUAUUCAAUUGUCAGAGGUGAAAUUCUUGGAUUUAUUGAAGACUAACUACUGCGAGAGCAUUUGCCAAGGAUGUUUUCAUUAAUCAGGAACGAAAGUUAGGGGAUCGAAGACGAUCAGAUACCGUCGUAGUCUUAACCAUAAACUAUGCCGACUAGGGAUCGGACGAUGUUACAUUUUUGACGCGUUCGGCACCUUACGAGAAAUCAAAGUGCUUGGGCUCCAGGGGGAGUAUGGUCGCAAGGCUGAAACUUAAAGAAAUUGACGGAAGGGCACCACCAGGGGUGGAGCCUGCGGCUUAAUUUGACUCAACACGGGGAAACUCACCAGGUCCAGACACAAUGAGGAUUGACAGAUUGAGAGCUCUUUCUUGAUUUUGUGGGUGGUGGUGCAUGGCCGUUCUUAGUUGGUGGAGUGAUUUGUCUGCUUAAUUGCGAUAACGAACGAGACCUUAACCUGCUAAAUAGCCCGUAUUGCUUUGGCAGUACGCUGGCUUCUUAGAGGGACUAUCGG
rnacentral:rRNA from 1 species